rnacentral:lncRNA from 1 species
ACAAUUUAGUUUUAAAUGAUUUUAAAUCGUACAAUUUAGCCUCAAAUAAUAUAACGUGCUCUCCUUUCUCGUCGUUCUCAAAUCUUACGACAAUUUUGUAACUAUCCACAACCAUGCUAUCCUCCACAGCCUCAUCUCCACGAUCUGUACUAUAUCUGAACCGAUGCUAUCGCCACUGGCAUUGAUAGAGGUGUGAGUGGGGUAGGAAAGAGGAGCGCGACAUCGACGUCGAAAUGGUGGGGGAAGGGAGAGAGACAAAGAGGAAGAAGAAAAACAAAGGAGAGAGAGAAAUGGGGGAGAAAAAAGAAUUAGAGUAAUUUUGUCAGUUUACUGGAAAUUCAAAGCUAAUAUGUAAAAUUAAGAAAAUGCAUAUUUUUAAAA